rnacentral:lncRNA from 1 species
GUUUGGAAUGCUCACGCCCGAGCGGACCCUGGACUUCGCUGGCUUCCUUCUGCGUGUGUCCAGGCGCCCAGGUCUUCCCAGCAGGCAGUGUGGCAGGCGGAGCAGCCACCACAGCCCGGAACGUUGGGGUGGAACCUGGACAUCUUGAGCCCAAACUUGGCAAGAUCAGCUGUGUUCUCUUCUUGAGUUUUCCCUUCUCAGAAACCUUUAGGAGAACACAGGCCCCCAGUGUGAGUCACUGGUUCAAACUGGAGAUGUCCCCUGAGGGGGAUCAGAGCUACACUGACACUUGUCAGGGUGCAAGUGAUGCUGCUGUAACAAAAGACCCAAGACACAGCAGUGUGGAUGGGCGGCAUCCCUUUCUCUUGGGCACAGGGCUGGUGUGGUGGCCUGGCAGGGGUGAGGACCCAGCUCCUGUCUCUUUCCCUAGCCACGUGGAGCAGCCCGCAUCCCUGGGAGCCCUCAGCCCUAACAUCAGCCGCUCCUUCCGGGAGCUCGGGCUCCUGCGGUGAGAAACACUGCGGAAAACAGGGUCGGCGGCCUUUCUGCAGGCACCAGGCACGCUGUCACAUGAGCCCAGACGGCACUGACUGCAGCUUCUGGGUGGCUUCUCCCAGCCCCACACAGGCAGAAGCACACAUGGGGUGAGCCUGCCCCUCCCAUCCAGCCCAGACUGCUGUGUGGCAAAGCGGGUCCCUGGACUACCUGGACCACUUACAUCUCCUCUUCAUUUCUGCGGUGGCUCUGAACCUCGUGUGGGAUAUGACUGGUCCCAGAUUUCCCUCUCCUGUGCUCACCCCUUUGAUUUAAUUUACUGUAAAGCACUGAGCAGCUUCUGCGCUGGGUGCGGGCAGGGAGCAUCCCCUACCGCCCCCUCACCGGCCUCCCUGGGGGGGGCCUGGUGGCUUUCGGGGUGGCUUCCUGUGGGCCUACUUUGGAAGGUGGCCAGGCCUGUGCACACCUGGUCCCCUGCCUCACCAACAGACGACACCCGCAUGUGCACACGUGCCCUCAGUCUCCUCCUGGGACACAUCCCUGACAUCAUGGAGAAAACAAGCACAGGAUGGGACCCAGGCCCCCAGCAGGGCCCCAAGGUGGCCUGAGACCCAGGAAGAGGGGCCCAGCGCCCCCACUCGAGGGAGUCGCAGACAGAGCCCCCACGCUGCAUGCCAGCCAUCGGGAACCUGCCUGGCGGGACAAGGCCGCUCUCGCUGUGGGGUUUUCCUUUCCCUACUUUUGAAUGUUCUUUGUGUGUUAGGGACCUUCCCCUUCCACCUGAGUCACGGUUCCAAAUGUUUUCUCCCAGGUCAUUUGCCUUGCAGGCCUGCUUGUCUCUGUUCUUGUGAGGCUGUUUUUCAGGCGAC